rnacentral:rRNA from 1 species
AGAGUUUGAUCAUGGCUCAGAUUGAACGCUGGCGGCAGGCCUAACACAUGCAAGUCGAACGGUAACAGGAAGAAGCUUGCUUCUUUGCUGACGAGUGGCGGACGGGUGAGUAAUGUCUGGGAAACUGCCUGAUGGAGGGGGAUAACUACUGGAAACGGUAGCUAAUACCGCAUAACGUCGCAAGACCAAAGAGGGGGACCUUCGGGCCUCUUGCCAUCGGAUGUGCCCAGAUGGGAUUAGCUAGUAGGUGGGGUAACGGCUCACCUAGGCGACGAUCCCUAGCUGGUCUGAGAGGAUGACCAGCCACACUGGAACUGAGACACGGUCCAGACUCCUACGGGAGGCAGCAGUAGGGAAUAUUGCACAAUGGGCGCAAGCCUGAUGCAGCCAUGCCGCGUGUAUGAAGAAGGCCUUCGGGUUGUAAAGUACUUUCAGCGGGGAGGAAGGGAGUAAAGUUAAUACCUUUGCUCAUUGACGUUACCCGCAGAAGAAGCACCGGCUAACUCCGUGCCAGCAGCCGCGGUAAUACGGAGGGUGCAAGCGUUAAUCGGAAUUACUGGGCGUAAAGCGCACGCAGGCGGUUUGUUAAGUCAGAUGUGAAAUCCCCGGGCUCAACCUGGGAACUGCAUCUGAUACUGGCAAGCUUGAGUCUCGUAGAGGGGGGUAGAAUUCCAGGUGUAGCGGUGAAAUGCGUAGAGAUCUGGAGGAAUACCGGUGGCGAAGGCGCCCCCCUGGACGAAGACUGACGCUCAGGUGCGAAAGCGUGGGGGGCAAACAGGAUUAGAUACCCUGGUAGUCCACGCCGUAAACGAUGUCGACUUGGAGGUUGUGCCCUUGAGGCGUGGCUUCCGGAGCUAACGCGUUAAGUCGACCGCCUGGGGAGUACGGCCGCAAGGUUAAAACUCAAAUGAAUUGACGGGGGCCCGCACAAGCGGUGGAGCAUGUGGUUUAAUUCGAUGCAACGCGAAGAACCUUACCUGGUCUUGACAUCCACAGAACUUUCCAGAGAUGGAUUGGUGCCUUCGGGAACUGUGAGACAGGUGCUGCAUGGCUGUCGUCAGCUCGUGUUGUGAAAUGUUGGGUUAAGUCCCGCAACGAGCGCAACCCUUAUCUUUUGUUGCCAGCGGUCCGGCCGGGAACUCAAAGGAGACUGCCAGUGAUAAACUGGAGGAAGGUGGGGAUGACGUCAAAUCAUCAUGCCCCUUAUGACCUGGGCUACACACGUGCUACAAUGGACAGAACAAAGGGCAGCGAAACCGCGAGGUUAAGCCAAUCCCGCAAAUCUGUUCUCAGUUCGGAUCGCAGUCUGCAACUCGACUGCGUGAAGCUGGAAUCGCUAGUAAUCGCGGAUCAGCAUGCCGCGGUGAAUACGUUCCCGGGCCUUGUACACACCGCCCGUCACACCACGAGAGUUUGUAACACCCGAAGUCGGUGAGGUAACCUUUUAGGAGCCAGCCGCCGAAGGUGGGACAGAUGAUUGGGGUGAAGUCGUAACAAGGUAGCCGUAUCGGAAGGUGCGGCUG